rnacentral:rRNA from 1 species
GACAGAGGGUGCAAACGUUGUUCGGAAUUACUGGGCGUAAAGCGCGUGUAGGCGGCUCGGCAAGUCGGGUGUGAAAGCCCUGGGCUUAACCUAGGAAGUGCACUCGAAACUGCCAAGCUUGAGUUCUGGAGAGGAAGGCGGAAUUCUCGGUGUAGAGGUGAAAUUCGUAGAUAUCGAGAGGAACACCGGUGGCGAAGGCGGCCUUCUGGACAGCAACUGACGCUGAGACGCGAAAGCGUGGGGAGCGAUCCGG